UAAGUUACUGAUUGAUGCCAAACUCAAUUUGACGGAAGUUGGUAAUACUGUUCUGCUAGAGGGCAGAAGAGGUUGAUGGAAUUCUGUGAGGAGCGGUGAAAUGCGUUGAUCUGCAGAGGAACACCAAAAAAGGCGAAGGCAUUCAACUAUUCUGUUCCUGACAUUGAGGCAUGAAAGCGUGGGGAGCAAACCGGAUUAGAUACCCGGGUAGUCCACGCCCUAAACGAUGAGCAUUAGAUAUUAGACGUUAAGUUUAGUGUCGCCGCUAACGCUGUAAAUGCUCCGCCUGGGUACUACGGCCGCAAGGCUAAAACUCAAAGGAAUUGACGGGGACCCGCACAAGCGGUGGAGCAUGUGGUUCAAUUCGAUACGACGCGCAGAACCUUACCAAGGCUUGACAUGGAGGGCAAAGUUGAAGAAAUUCAACAGAGGUUAUCCCGACACAGGUGGUGCAUGGUCGUCGUCAGUUCGUGCUGUGAAGCGUAUGCUUAAGUGCUAUAACGAACGCAACCCUCAUAUUUAGUUGCUACCAUUCAGUUGAGAACUCUAAAUAGACUGCUAAGAAAACUUAGAGGAAGGUGAGGAUGACGUCUGAUCAU
rnacentral:rRNA from 1 species